CGCGGUAAUACGUAGGUGGCAAGCGUUGUCCGGAUUUACUGGGCGUAAAGGGAUGUGUAGGCGGACAUUUAAGUGAGAUGUGAAAGCCCCGAGCUCAACUUGGGGACUGCAUUUCAAACUGGGUGUCUAGAGUGCAGGAGAGGAAAGCGGAAUUCCUAGUGUAGCGGUGAAAUGCGUAGAGAUUAGGAAGAACAUCAGUGGCGAAGGCGGCUUUCUGGACUGUAACUGACGCUGAGGCAUGAAAGCGUGGGGAGCAAACAGGAUUAGAUACCCUGGUAGUCCACGCCGUAAACGAUGAGUACUAGGUGUAGGAGGUAUCGACUCCUUCUGUGCCGCAGUUAACACAAUAAGUACUCCGCCUGGGAAGUACGGUCGCAAGAUUAAAACUCAAAGAAAUUGACGGGGGCCCGCACAAGCAGCGGAGCAUGUGGUUUAAUUCGAAGCAACGCGAAGAACCUUACCUAGACUUGACAUCUCCUGAAUAGCGUAGAGAUACGUGAAGCCCUUCGGGGCAGGAAGACAGGUGGUGCAUGGUUGUCGUCAGCUCGUGUCGUGAGAUGUUGGGUUAAGUCCCGCAACGAGCGCAACCCUUAUCAUUAGUUGCUACCAUUAAGUUGAGCACUCUAGUGAGACUGCCCGGGUUAACCGGGAGGAAGGCGGGGAUGACGUCAAAUCAUCAUGCCCCUUAUGUCUAGGGCUACACACGUGCUACAAUGGUGAGAACAACGAGAUGCAAUACCGCGAGGUGGAGCCAAACUUGAAAACUCAUCCCAGUUCGGAUUGUAGGCUGAAAUUCGCCUACAUGAAGUUGGAGUUGCUAGUAAUCGCGAAUCAGAAUGUCGCGGUGAAUACGUUCCCGGGCCUUGUACACACCGCCCGUCACACCAUGAGAGCUGGUAACACCCGAAGU
rnacentral:rRNA from 1 species